rnacentral:tRNA from 1 species
GCUAGUGUAGCUUAACCUAAAGCAUAACACUGAAGAUGUUAAGACGGGUAUUAAAACACCCCACAAGCA